AUGCAGGCUCCGAUGUUCCAACAUAAGGAUUGCAUCAGACCGUCAUGUCUUAAACUUCCAAAUUGGGGUGUAGGCGAAUAUGGGUUUAUGAGCGUAAAUACGGAUACUGGAGCUGGUCGGGCCUUCUUAAGAUCUCUUUACCGACAGUAUGCAGAUUGGGGUGUUGAUUUUGGUAUGCUAUUUCUAAGUCUGUACUUUGCUAGAUUCAUUCAUCACAAAGACCACAGUGAUCCAUAUUGUAUUAAGUCACCUAACCAGCGGACGACAGGGGUAGGUAGGGCGGCUGCCGUAACGCUUCGCACGCUAAACCCUAGCCGCCUCAUCCUCUCGCUGCCGCCAUGGUGCGGCGGCGGGAGGAUCGGUCCAGAGGUGGCUUGCCAGGAAAGUUUUGAGGACCUGGAGGGCUGUUGUGGUCGGAGAUGA
rnacentral:rRNA from 1 species